rnacentral:rRNA from 1 species
GAUGAACGCUGGCGGCGUGCCUAAUACAUGCAAGUCGAGCGAACAGAUGAGGAGCUUGCUCCUCUGACGUUAGCGGCGGACGGGUGAGUAACACGUGGAUAACCUACCUAUAAGACUGGGAUAACUACGGGAAACCGGAGCUAAUACCGGAUAAUAUAUUGAACCGCAUUGUUCAAUAGUGAAAGACGGUUUUGCUGUCACUUAUAGAUGGUUCCGCGCCGCAUUAGCUAGUUGGUAAGGUAACGGCUUACCAAGGCAACGAUGCGUAGCCGACCUGAGAGGGUGAUCGGCCACACUGGAACUGAGACACGGUCCAGACUCCUACGGGAGGCAGCAGUAGGGAAUCUUCCGCAAUGGGCGAAAGCCUGACGGAGCAACGCCGCGUGAGUGAUGAAGGUCUUCGGAUCGUAAAACUCUGUUAUUAGGGAAGAACAAAUGUGUAAGUAACUAUGCACGUCUUGACGGUACCUAAUCAGAAAGCCACGGCUAACUACGUG